GUCCUCUUCCCUCCCUCCCCCCCUCCGCAGACUGUCAGCGCAACGCCCGGGAGAGGGUGCAUUUGCUGGGAGAUGCAUGAGGCUCCUCGCCUUCCUUUCGCGCACACACGCACAACACUCACCCCCUUCCUCUCACGCUUCACCUUCGCGUUAAUCAUCUCGUCGUCAACCACUACCGCCUUUUCGCCCGCCUUUGGAGUACGACCAUACUUGAGUGAAAACACCAUAUCC
rnacentral:rRNA from 1 species